rnacentral:rRNA from 1 species
AGUGAACGCUGGCGGUAGGCCUAACACAUGCAAGUCGAACGGCAGCACAGUAAGAGCUUGCUCUUACGGGUGGCGAGUGGCGGACGGGUGAGGAAUAUAUCGGAAUCUACUUUUUCGUGGGGGUUAACGUAGGGAAACUUACGCUAAUACCGCAUACGAUCUACGGGUGAAAGCAGGGGAUCUUUGGACCUUGCGCGAUUGAAUGAGCCGAUGUGGGAUUGGAUAGUUGGCGGGGUAAAGGCCCACCAAGGCGAGGAUCCGUAGCUGGUGUGAGUGGCUGAUCGGCCGCACUGGAACUGAGACAGGGUCCAGAGUCCUACGAGAGGCAGCAGUGGGGAAUAUUGGGCAAUGGGCGCAAGCCUGAUCCAGCCAUACCGCGUGGGUGAAGAAGGCCUUCGGGUUGUAAAGCCCUUUUGUUGGGAAAGAAAAGCAGCAGGUUAAUACCCCGCUGUUCUGGCGGUACCCAAAGAAUAAGCACCGGCUAACUUCGUG